AGUCCAGGUGAGUGACAGAUAUAGGGAAGAUAAUCAAGGAGGUGAUGGAGUCCAGGUGAGUGACAGAUAUAGGGAAGAUAAUCAAGGAGGUGAUGGAGUCCAGGGGAGUGACAGGUAGAGGGAAGAUAAUCAAGGAGCUGAUGAAGUCCAGGUGAGUGACAGAUAUAGGGAAGAUAAUCAAGGAGGUGAUGGAGUCCAGGUGAGUGACAGAUAUAGGGAAGAUAAUCAAGGAGGUGAUGGAGUCCAGGUGAGUGACAGAUAUAGGGAAGAUAAUCAAGGAGGUGAUGGAGUCCAGGUGAGUGACAGAUAUAGGGAAGAUAAUCAAGGAGGUGAUGGAGUCCAGGUGAGUGACAGAUAUAGGGAAGAUAAUCAAGGAGGUGAUGGAGUCCAGGUGAGUGACAGAUAUAGGGAAGAUAAUCAAGGAGGUGAUGGAGUCCAGGUGAGUGACAGAUAUAGGGAAGAUAAUCAAGGAGGUGAUGGAGUCCAGGUGAGUGACAGAUAUAGGGAAGAUAAUCAAGGAGGUGAUGGAGUCCAGGUGAGUGACAGAUAUAGGGAAGAUAAUCAAGGAGGUGAUGGAGUCCAGGUGAGUGACAGAUAUAGGGAAGAUAAUCAAGGAGGUGAUGGAGUCCAGGUGAGUGACAGAUAUAGGGAAGAUAAUCAAGGAGGUGAUGGAGUCCAGGUGAGUGACAGAUAUAGGGAAGAUAAUCAAGGAGGUGAUGGAGUCCAGGUGAGUGACAGAUAUAGGGAAGAUAAUCAAGGAGGUGAUGGGAGACCAGGUGAGUGACAUGAAGCGCAGGUACACAAGACGAUGGUGACAGGUGUGCAGGACAAUCAGCAGCCUGAUGACCUAGAGGCCGGAGACGGAGUAUGCGUGACUACCUGGACUCCAUUUCCUCUCUCAUUGCCUCCUCUAUAUCUUUCCCUUAGGUCUAUUCCCCAGGCAGCAUUCAUGUUGUUCCAUGUCCGUACGCUGCACUUGUGUCUCUGUUACGUUUCUUAUGAAACUCUCUACCUGAACUUGCUUCCUGUUUCCCAGCGUC